UGGGGAAUCUUGGACAAUGGGCGCAAGCCUGAUCCAGCCAUGCCGCGUGGAUGAUGAAGGCCUUAGGGUUGUAAAAUCCUUUCGCCGAGGACGAUAAUGACGGUACUCGGAGAAGAAGCUCCGGCUAACUUCGUGCCAGCAGCCGCGGUAAUACGAAGGGGGCUAGCGUUGUUCGGAUUUACUGGGCGUAAAGCGCAUGUAGGCGGGCCGUUAAGUUAGGGGUGAAAUCCCGAGGCUCAACCUCGGAACUGCCUCUAAAACUGGCGGCCUGGACCUAAGUAGAGGCAAGUGGAAUUGCGAGUGUAGAGGUGAAAUUCGUAGAUAUUCGCAGGAACACCAGUGGCGAAGGCGACUUGCUGGACUUAUGGUGACGCUGAGAUGCGAAAGCGUGGGGAGCAAACAGGAUUAGAUACCCGCGUAGUCCCUGAGCGGGCUGGCAAGGCGCAU
rnacentral:rRNA from 1 species